CGUGGGUAACCUGCCCAAGAGAUCGGGAUAACACCUGGAAACUAGAUGCUAAUACCGGAUAACAACAGAUGAUGCCUAUCAACUGUUUAAAAGAUGGUUCUGCUAUCACUCUUGGAUGGACCUGCGGUGCAUUAGCUAGUUGGUAGGGUAACGGCCUACCAAGGCGAUGAUGCAUAGCCGAGUUGAGAGACUGAUCGGCCACAUUGGGACUGAGACACGGCCCAAACUCCUACGGGAGGCAGCAGUA
rnacentral:rRNA from 1 species